UGACCUACCCGCUCCCUGACUGGAGCCCCUCACUCCCAUCCCGCAGCUGUGCCAGCCCAAGUGGUGCCCCUGACCACCGACCCCCCAGCCCUGCAAAUGCCCCUUACUCCCAACCCGCAACCCCCAGCUCAACAAGUGCCCCUCACUCCUGCCCCGCAGCCCCACCUCCAUCCCCACCCCCACCAGUGCCCCUCACUCCAGACCUGCAGCCCCACCUCUCCUGCAGCGGGGGGGAGGGGGUGGGCAGGAAGUCACAGCUCAGCUGUUGGCCUGGCUGUGCUGUGUGGCUGUGGCAGUCCUGUCGCCCGCUCUGCCCCGAGCCAUUGGCGGGGGGUCACAGAGCUUGGAGCCCCCCGAGGCGGGCCCCGCGAUGGCUGCAGAUCCUGAAGACAGCUCCGUGCCGCUGUUGCGGGACCCUGAGGAUUCCCCUGUGACCCUUGCCCUGACCUGCCUGGGGAAGCUGGUGCUGUCGGCGCUCCCGGUCGCCUGUGUUGCGGUUGGGGCUGUGUACCUGCGGCAGUGUCCCUGCCAGCCCCUGGUGCCCGUUUACCUGCUGGGCAUGGGGGUCGUGGCCCUGCUGAGCCUGAUGCUGACCUGCCUGCCCUGUGGCGAUGGGGCUGAGCCGCCCCCAGUGAAGCCUGGAGUCUGGGGCUGCCAUGCGCUCUUCCUCCUCUUCCUCUUCGCCUGGUUCAUCGCUGGCAACGUGUGGGUAUACUCCAUCUACCCACCGGAGUACGUAGCCAUUGGGAACCCACACUUUUGCCACCGUGGCCUCUACCUCUUUGCCUUCUGGCUGACCACGGGUGCCUACAUCGCGCUGGGCCUGGCGCUGCUGCUGGCCCUUGGAGCCACUGCCUGCCUCCUGCUGCUGCGCACUCGCCUGCCCUGGGCCCGCCACGCCGACUACCCCUAGGGGGUCAGGGAUUGCUGGUCACUGUGUGCAGAAAAUGGGACCAAUAAAUCAACCACGGCGCUGACGCAGGGGCUUGAGCGGAUCCCGGAGCAGCUCGGAUACCUCGUGCUGUGCGAC